rnacentral:rRNA from 1 species
UGGGGAAUUUUGCACAAUGGGGGAAACCCUGAUGCAGCGACGCCGCGUGAUUUAGAAGGCCUUCGGGUUGUAAAAAUCUUUUCUAUGGGAAGAAAAUGACAGUACCAUAGGAAUAAGGACCGGCUAAUUACGUGCCAGCAGCCGCGGUAAUACGUAAGGUCCGAGCGUUGUCCGGAAUCAUUGGGCGUAAAGGGUACGUAGGCGGGUAAGCAAGUUAGAAGUGAAAUCCUGUAGCUCAACUACAGUAAGCUUUUAAAACUGCUCAUCUUGAGAUAUGGAAGGGAGAGUGGAAUUCCUAGUGUAGCGGUGAAAUGCGCAGAUAUUAGGAGGAAUACCGGUGGCGAAGGCGACUUACCGGCCACACACUGCCGCUGAGGAACGAAAGCGUGGGUAGCAAACAGG